UAUAACUCUGGUGGCCAAUGGCUUAUGACAUGUCUCAUUCCCAGAGUAACUUUGUCUCUUGUGCUACAGGUUAGAUCAGCUCUGGCUCCCUCUCAGGACUCCAAAGUCUCUCCCAAGCCGUCCAGCCACAGCCUCCGAGCCUAACCCACCCCCCACCCCCCCAGUGGAUUCACUACGUACUCAUGAGUGUGACCUACCCUUUUGUUCUCCAAUGUUUCUGAAGACCUACUAUGUAGCUCCCUCUAUAGUGACUUUCUGCCCAGGUCCCCCUUGGAAAUCAGAUCUUGCUCUCAAUGGGGUGUUUAUCUGCUUUAAAUAAAG